rnacentral:rRNA from 1 species
CAUGCUCAGGAUGAACGCUGGCGGCGUGCUUAACACAUGCAAGUCGAACGAUGAUCCGGUGCUUGCACCGGUGAUUAGUGGCGAACGGGUGAGUAACACGUGAGUAACCUGCCCUUAACUCUGGGAUAAGCCUGGGAAACUGGGUCUAAUACCGGAUAUGACUCCUCAUCGCAUGGUGGGGGGUGGAAAGCUUUUUUGUGGUUUUGGAUGGACUCGCGGCCUAUCAGCUUGUUGGUGAGGUAAUGGCUCACCAAGGCGACGACGGGUAGCCGGCCUGAGAGGGUGACCGGCCACACUGGGACUGAGACACGGCCCAGACUCCUACGGGAGGCAGCAGUGGGGAAUAUUGCACAAUGGGCGCAAGCCUGAUGCAGCGACGCCGCGUGAGGGAUGACGGCCUUCGGGUUGUAAACCUCUUUCAGUAGGGAAGAAGCGAAAGUGACGGUACCUGCAGAAGAAGCGCCGGCUAACUACGUGCCAGCAGCCGCGGUAAUACGUAGGGCGCAAGCGUUAUCCGGAAUUAUUGGGCGUAAAGAGCUCGUAGGCGGUUUGUCGCGUCUGCCGUGAAAGUCCGGGGCUCAACUCCGGAUCUGCGGUGGGUACGGGCAGACUAGAGUGAUGUAGGGGAGACUGGAAUUCCUGGUGUAGCGGUGAAAUGCGCAGAUAUCAGGAGGAACACCGAUGGCGAAGGCAGGUCUCUGGGCAUUAACUGACGCUGAGGAGCGAAAGCAUGGGGAGCGAACAGGAUUAGAUACCCUGGUAGUCCAUGCCGUAAACGUUGGGCACUAGGUGUGGGGGACAUUCCACGUUUUCCGCGCCGUAGCUAACGCAUUAAG